CAGAUUCACCCGAAAGAGUGCAAGUUGACAUUGGAUUAUGCAUCGAUAACUCCUAAAAAACGAACAGAUAAUAAGGAGGAGCGAACAGGUAUACAAGAACUGAAAUGGCUUAGAGACAACCCUGAACUGACAUCAGUUUAUUAUACACUCCAGUUACAUCGCAGCGUUGCCAGCRGGGAUGUUGACACAGUGACUUUCCAUUUUGCUCCUUCAURCUGAGAGGCCGACAUGAUAACUCAUAUCCURGAGAGGACGGUAURUCAUAAAGAGGACGUUGAAACAAAAUGAAAGUAAAAAGAUAUUCACCCAGAAAACCUUUUAAAGGCACAAUUGUUAUGGGAGAACAUUCCCCUGGAACUUUUGCACUGUUGUUAUAAUUUCAGGCUUUCUAUGUAGGUCAUUCUCAUUCUGUCAAAUAGGGGCCUCGAUGACAUCCACUGAUACGGAUCAAUUCAAUAGCUAUGCAUUGAGUAAAUAGCAGGAUCAGGAUAAUCUCUCUUUUCAAGUGCCUUUUGUCCCAUAUCCCAAUGUAUAGGUUAAAACAAAUGGAACAUAUAUUUUAAUCCAAUUCACUAGCGUGUUUGCUAUGCUAUUGCUGUGCCAAAGCUUCUUUUCAGUACUGUCUGUUCUGUUGUUUCAAUGUAGGUUCCUCCCCUGUAUCUUUUUAUAGCUGGUCAUUGUUUAGCUUGCCGGUGGAUAGCAGCUGUGUACAUAAUAUCAAAAGAGCAGGCGUUUGAGAUAAAGCCACCUACUCCUUAGAACCAAUCGCUGUUAGGCUCCUUUAGACACAAAAGGUCCAUAGAUACAUUUUUUCAUGUAUGUUGUAUUGAAACAUUUGUGAGGGAUUGAUCUUGAUUUGUUGUUUGAUCUUGAGUGACAUUUUAUUGCUUUUCGCAAUAUUUAAGGCUGGGCUAAAUUGUAGCUGUUAAUUUAGCUCAUUUUUUAAUUAUGAUGGACCAUUUAAUGAUUACCCCUAUCUAUGUAGCACAUCAACCCUUCAUUAGAUAUUUGAUGGUGUAGCUACUUUAUUUAUGGCCUGUAUUUGUCCCAUAUAAAUAUGAUUCCAUAGCUACACUGGGGUCGGCACAUUUAAAACUGUAAACUGUCAUUCUCUUUUUGCUGUCUGUAUACCAAUUGUGUAAAUGUGAAUAUACAAACACAGUUCAUAAAUAGUAAUACCAGCAUUGCACCUGAGAUGUUAAUGAAUUAAAGUACUGUAUAUCAAUAACAUUUGUGUGUUAACUGCGGAGGCAUUGCCUUUGCUUUUGAACAAUGUAACGCAGUCCUCACAAUAAAGAAAAUCAAACCAUCCACAAUAAUUA